rnacentral:rRNA from 1 species
GGGCUCUUUAUGACCUUGCGCUAAUAGAUGAGCCUAAGUCGGAUUAGCUAGUUGGUGGGGUAAAGGCCUACCAAGGCGACGAUCUGUAGCGGGUCUGAGAGGAUGAUCCGCCACACUGGGACUGAGACACGGCCCAGACUCCUACGGGAGGCAGCAGUGGGGAAUAUUGGACAAUGGGGGGAACCCUGAUCCAGCCAUGCCGCGUGUGUGAAGAAGGCCUUUUGGUUGUAAAGCACUUUAAGUGGGGAGGAGGCUUACCUGGUUAAUACCUGGGCUAAGUGGACGUUACCCACAGAAUAAGCACCGGCUAACUCUGUGCCAGCAGCCGCGGUAAUACAGAGGGUGCGAGCGUUAAUCGGAUUUACUGGGCGUAAAGCGCGCGUAGGUGGUUAAUUAAGUCAAAUGUGAAAUCCCCGAGCUUAACUUGGGAAUUGCAUUCGAUACUGGUUAGCUAGAGUAUGGGAGAGGAUGGUAGAAUUCCAGGUGUAGCGGUGAAAUGCGUAGAGAUCUGGAGGAAUACCGAUGGCGAAGGCAGCCAUCUGGCCUAAUACUGACACUGAGGUGCGAAAGCAUGGGGAGCAAACAGGAUUAGAUACCCUGGUAGUCCAUGCCGUAAACGAUGUCUACUAGCCGUUGGGGGAUUUGAUCCUUUAGUGGCGCAGCUAACGCGAUAAGUAGACCGCCUGGGGAGUACGGUCGCAAGACUAAAACUCAAAGGAAUUGACGGACUCUCGUACU